UACAGAGGGUGCGAGCGUUAAUCGGAAUUAUUGGGCGUAAAGCGUGCGUAGACGGUAGCGUAAGUCAGAUGUGAAAGCCCCGGGCUCAACCUGGGAAUUGCAUUUGAGACUGCUCUGCUCGGGUGCGGAAGAGGGAAGCGGAAUUUCCGGUGUAGCGGUGAAAUGCGUAGAUAUCGGAAGGAACACCAGUGGCGAAAGCGGCUUCCUGGUCCGACACCGACGUUCAGGCACGAAAGCGUGGGGAGCAAACAGG
rnacentral:rRNA from 1 species